rnacentral:rRNA from 1 species
UACGUAGGGUGCAAGCGUUAAUCGGAAUUACUGGGCGUAAAGCGUGCGCAGGCGGUCCGUUUAAGACAGAUGUGAAAUCCCCCGGGCUUAACCUGGGAACUGCAUUUGUGACUGGCGGACUCGAGUAUGGCAGAGGGGGGGUGGAAUUACCACGUGUAGCAGUGAAAUGCGUAGAAGAUGUGGAGGAACACCGAUGGCGAAGGCAGCCCCUGG